CCAGAGCUGCAUGUAAAUAACCGGCUUUAUCAUUUUAUUAAUCUAUGAAAUGACCAUUUUAAAAUUAAAAGUACCUGCAACAAUGAGCUGAUGGGUUCACCAACACACUCACAUGAUUUCGGGCAGCAAUAACACGUAAGCAUUUUUUUUGCUUAUCUUUCUCUUCUGAGUACAGACGAAUUGAAGGAGAAUUCAGUUUUAUUUUAUGUUCUUAUUUUCGAGUAGUACGCCAUUUUCAUCGUUUUCUCCGUAGUAAAUAGCAGAGAACGUAAAAAAGUGAGAAAUAUGGAUAAGAAUCCUUUACAAGCUGUGGGCACCUUAUAUUGUACGGAAAACUCAGUUACUGGAGCAGGUUGACUGGGAUGGAUGCUUCUCACCUUGCAGCAGCAGCGGAUCUCAAAAAUAUUCAACAAAACUUUGCGAGACGUAUUUAUACUUCAAACGAGCCGUCACUAUGACGUAGGCGUUUGUGGAGCUUAGAAGCUGCGUCACCGAGACAUGACACUAUUAAAUUCUUUUGUUUGUGCGGUUUUGCUGAUUUUGAAAACGAAUUUAUUGUUAUACAGUUAUUUCUUUUCUAUGCUAUAUAAACCAUGUACCUGAUCCAUCUAAAAGUAUUGGAAUAAAGAUCGAAUCUUAAUAAUUUUUGUAUGUACGUAUAUAUGUA
rnacentral:misc_RNA from 1 species